UACGGGGGGAGCAAGCGUUGUUCGGAUUUACUGGGCGUAAAGGGCGCGUAGGCGGUCGUGACAAGUCACUUGUGAAAUCUCCGGGCUUAACUCGGAAACGGUCAAGUGAUACUGUCGGACUAGAGUACAGAAGGGGCAACUGGAAUUCUCGGUGUAGCGGUGAAAUGCGUAGAUAUCGAGAGGAACACCUGCGGCGAAGGCGGGUUGCUGGGCUGAUACUGACGCUGAGGCGCGAAAGCCAGGGGAGCGAACGGG
rnacentral:rRNA from 1 species